CAAUAGCGUAUAUUAAAGUUGUUGCAGUUAAAAAGCUCGUAGUUGGAUUUCGGUUGAGAACGGCCGGUCCGCCGUUUGGUGUGCACUGGCUGGUUUCAACUUCCUGUAGAGGACGCGCUCUGGCUUCACGGCUGGACGCGGAGUCUACGUGGUUACUUUGAAAAAAUUAGAGUGUUCAAAGCGGGCUUACGCUUGAAUAUUUCAGCAUGGAAUAACACUAUAGGACUCCUGUCCUAUUUCGUUGGUCUCGGGACGGGAGUAAUGAUUAAGAGGAACAGUUGGGGGCAUUCGUAUUUCAUUGUCAGAGGUGAAAUUCUUGGAUUUAUGAAAGACGAACUUCUGCGAAAGCAUUUGCCAAGGAUGUUUUCAUUAA
rnacentral:rRNA from 1 species